GACGUAGGGGGCGAGCGUUGUCCGGAUUUAUUGGGCGUAAAGCGCGCGUAGGCGGCCCGUUAAGUCGGAUGUGAAAACCCGUGGCUCAACCACGGGCCUGCAUCCGAUACUGGCGGGCUCGAGGCAGGCAGGGGAGAUCGGAAUUCCAGGUGUAGCGGUGAAAUGCGUAGAUAUCUGGAGGAAUACCGGUGGCGAAGGCGGCAUCCUGGACCGGCAUUGACGCUGAGGAGCGAAAGCCAGGGGAGCAAAGCGGG
rnacentral:rRNA from 1 species